AUCCUUUUGUAGUUCAUAAGCAUGAUGAUUGGAUGUUCACGCCGUUGUGUGACAUGUGCCUCCCUCUUGGAAUUUAUCCAUUUCUUCCAGAUU
rnacentral:snoRNA from 1 species